UGGGGAAUCAUAGACAAUGGGCGCAAGCCUGAUCUUGCCAUGCCGCGUGAGCGAUGAAGGCCUUAGGGUUGUAAAGCUCUUUCACCGGUGAAGAUAAUGACGGUAGCCGGAGAAGAAGCCCCGGCUAACUCCGUGCCAGCAGCCGCGGUAAUACGGAGGGGGCUAGCGUUGUUCGGAAUUACUGGGCGUAAAGCGCGCGUAGGCGGGCUGUUAAGUCGGGGGUGAAAUCCCGGGGCUCAACCCCGGAACUGCCUUCGAUACUGGCAGCCUAGAGGUCGGGAGAGGUGAGUGGAAUGCCGAGUGUAGAGGUGAAAUUCGUAGAUAUUCGGCGGAACACCCGUGGCGAAGGCGGCUCACUGGCCCGAUACUGACGCUGAGGUGCGAAAGCGUGGGGAGCAAACAGGAUUAGAUACCCCCGUAGUCC
rnacentral:rRNA from 1 species